rnacentral:rRNA from 1 species
GACGAACGCUGGCGGCGUGCUUAACACAUGCAAGUCGAACGAAGUGGCGAACGGGUGAGUAAUACGUGGGUAACCUGCCCUCCUUUUUGGGAUAAGCCUUGGAAACGGGGUCUAAUACCGAAUAAAGGGGGAUGGUCUCGCGGCCUAUCAGCUUGUUGGUGGGGUGAUGGCCUACCCAGGCGGUGACGGGUAGCCGGCCUGAGAGGGUGAACGGCAACAGUGGGACGGAGAUGAGGCCCAGACUACGACGGGAGGGAGCAGUUGGGGAUAUUGCACAAGGGGUGAAAGAGUGAUGCAGCGACGGCGCGUGGGGGAUGCGGGCUUUGGGGUUGUAAACGUCUUUAGGAAUCGAACGGUUAGGUGCAGAAGAAGCGCCGGCUAACUACGUGCCAGCAGCCGCGGUAAUAC